CAGCCGCCGCGGUAACACAGAGGGUGCGAGCGUUAAUCGGAUUUACUGGGCGUAAAGCGUGCGUAGGCGGCUUCUUAAGUCGGAUGUGAAAUCCCUGAGCUUAACUUAGGAAUUGCAUUCGAUACUGGGAAGCUAGAGUAUGGGAGAGGAUGGUAGAAUUCCAGGUGUAGCGGUGAAAUGCGUAGAGAUCUGGAGGAAUACCGAUGGCGAAGGCAGCCAUCUGGCCUAAUACUGACGCUGAGGUACGAAAGCAUGGGGAGCAAACAGGAUUAGAUACCCGAGUAGUCCCUGUCUCUUAUAC
rnacentral:rRNA from 1 species